GACACCUUGUCAAAGAGAAAGACAAGUUUUUAAGGGCAUAGUCAACAUUGAUCUCACCAGCUUCUCUCAGGAACUUUGCUGUCAUUUCAGUGUGGUGUGACUGAUCUGGAGACAGUGUGGUGGAGGUGGGGUCAUUACCUGCUGACUGACAGAACCCGGCUGUAGCAGCACGGCGCCACCGCUGGAGACACUAUCAAGAACACGUCCACUAUGAGGUGGGAAGGGAAGAGUCAUAUCCACAGUAAGACAUUUUGAAACUUCCAACUACUGUACUUGGGAUCGAGACUAGAGUAAAGCAUUAAGCCAUAACUAACAUUGUUGACCUCAAGUGUGUACUUGUUUCUGUUACCUUUAACAGUAGCACACAGGGUGGUAGAGGACCUGGAUAAAUACAAGGGGCUGCUUCCCUCUCCAUCACCAGGGGCAGAGCUGAGAGUGUUGGAAGAAAAUCAUGUUUUUUGUGAAAUACUUUGACUACUGUUUGUGUUGUGUAUGUUAUAUAUAUAUAUAUUGCCCAAGAAGAUGAAAACAAAUGUAUAAAUCAAUCUUUACUGAGUAAACCUUCAGCCUCUUGACCUUCCAUCUACUCAUGAUGAUUAAUGAUGUUGUUGUUUUUUAAAUUGCUUGUUUUUUUGUUGUUUUUGCUUCACAACGCUUUGAGAUUCUUUAUGUAAGGUAUAGCACUAUAAAAGUUCAAUAAAUUGUUAUUAGUA